rnacentral:rRNA from 1 species
GACGAACGCUGGCGGCGUGCCUAAUACAUGCAAGUAGAACGCAGUUGCGAACGGGUGAGUAACGCGUAGGUAACUGCCUCAUAGCGGGGGAUAACUAUUGGAAACGAUAGCUAAUACCGCAUACUGUGAGAUGGACCUGCGUUGUAUUAGCUAGUUGGUGAGGAAAAGGCUAACCAAGGCGAAGAUACAUACCCGACCUGAGAGGGGGAUGCGCAACAAGUGGACUGAGCCAAUGGCCAGAAUCCUACGGGAGGCAGCACUUGGGAAUCAUCGGAAAUGGACGGAAGUCUUACCGCGAAACGCCGCGUGAGCUAAGAAGGUUUUCGGAUCUUAAAGCUAUGUUGUUAGAGAAGCGGUAACUAACCAGAAAGGGACGGCUAACUACGUGCCAGCAGACGCGGUAAUAC